rnacentral:ncRNA from 1 species
AUACAAUCGUUGAUGAGGAGAAGUAAAUGAGUUGAAUUCUUUGUAGAGAGAGUCACCCCUGGCUGAAAGUGACUUAAGAAUUCACACAUUGAAAUGCACCUCUGAGUCUCCUACAGAAAGCCAUAGUGGCCAUUAUGCAGGAGCGGCGCCGCCGUUAUCGGUGAAAGGAAUUUUCUUUCUAUAAGAGAAUUCGAAGCAGAGUGGAACCACGCAAUAGGCGUCUCUGUG